rnacentral:rRNA from 1 species
CCUACGGGAGGCAGCAGUGAGGAAUAUUGGUCAAUGGACGAGAGUCUGAACCAGCCAAGUAGCGUGAAGGAUGACUGCCCUAUGGGUUGUAAACUUCUUUUAUAUGGGAAUAAAAUGUUCCACGUGUGGGAUUUUGUAUGUACCAUAUGAAUAAGGAUCGGCUAACUCCGUGCCAGCAGCCGCGGUAAUACGGAGGAUCCGAGCGUUAUCCGGAUUUAUUGGGUUUAAAGGGAGCGUAGGUGGAUUGUUAAGUCAGUUGUGAAAGUUUGCGGCUCAACCGUAAAAUUGCAGUUGAUACUGGCAGUCUUGAGUACAGUAGAGGUAGGCGGAAUUCGUGGUGUAGCGGUGAAAUGCUUAGAUAUCACGAAGAACUCCGAUUGCGAAGGCAGUUCACUAGACUGCAACUGACACUGAGGCUCGAAAGUGUGGGUAUCAAACAGGAUUAGAUACCCUUGUAGUC